UUAAACUUUAGCGGAUUUGAUUAUUUGCAUAUUUGACUAAUAUUCGAGUUCAAGUUUACUUUAUUACGGUCAAUGACCAGCUCAUGAUUUGAUUAAUAUGUUAUCUCUAGAAAUCUCUAAGUUCUCCAGCAUAACCCUAUGGUCAACUUGCACCAAAUGUGGUACUGGGGGAAUUAAAGGUUCCUAAAGAGAACACAUCCCUAGGCAUUUGGAGAUCCUCCAAUAUGAUUUAUAGUCAACUUCGUUACAAAUUGUUCAAUGCAUGUAACCCAGUAAUCCAGUAAUACAAUGCACAGUUUGGCCAGUUCAAAAAUUAUGCAACACAAAUAUGAAGAAUGCAGAAAACUGAAAUUUACUCUUAAGUAUUCAGAAGAAGUGAAUUCAAAAAACUCAAUCAGCAGUAUAGUCACAAUUCCUUUUGUGCAUUACACUCACACAUGGUCCAAAUGCACUCCAUGCAGUCAUGCUGGUGACAUGACCUUGGAGGUGUCUAUGGACAACACCGGCUCUUCGGCUUAGAAAUGGAGAUGAGCACCAACCCCCAGAGAUAGACAUGACUAGACUUAAUGUCAGGGGAAAACCUUUACCUAUAGUCCAUAUAGUCUAUAGAAAUAAAUUUUCCAAUGUUCCUUGGAUGUAGAAGUACUGGACAGCAUGAAAUGGAGUUGCUGCCAGUCAGGAGCUUUAUGCUGAGCAGCAAGGCUUCUAGCAAGCUCAACUUCCAGGAGCAAAUACAAACGUGCCUUUCUUUCCACUCCUAUUUCAGAGGGUGCCUGCCUUAUAGAGGAUGCUUGCAAGAUAUUAACAGGCUCGCAAUACUGCCUUUGCAAAAAAAAACCGACAAGUCAAUGGAGCAAGAGAUGAGAAACAGCCUUGGAAAAUUUCAGAGCAAUUGUAAUUGGCUUUUUUAUAAAAACAACAACAACGGCAACAACAAAAUAAAUGAACCAUCAGUGAGCAGUUGCAUUGUUUGUUUGGCGUUUCAUGUGCUCAUAAGAAAGUGAGAGGCACCAAAAAGGAACUAGAGGACAUGGAAUCGCAUCGAUUCUUUACAGCACUGCCCUUGUGCCACAUUUGCGCAAAGUCUCGUUUUGUGCCGAGGGACUGAAAAUCCAUCCAAACUGCAGAGGUUUCAAGAUGGUAUGGGACCAAUAUUCUUAGCUGCACUAAAGUUGCAUUUCUAGCUUUGGAAGCAAUGCUCCGUCAUAGAUUUACUUCUGAGCAAUACCAUGGAAGAGAAAGCAAGUAGGAAUGUGAGAAAAAGAAACAGAGCAGGAAAAGAAAGCAAGACUCUAAGGAUCACUUUCUGUCUGUCAGCAAAACCAAAGUGAUUCCACUCUGUAGUUAGCAUUUUAUCAACGAUUUGUAAAUGCAACAUUGGGGGCACAUAUUAUUGACACAAGGCUCAAGAUACAAGCCUCAGCCCUUCCCAGCGGUGGAGGCUGUAUCUCGGGUAUCCAAGCCGCCAAGUCUAAUGAAGGAGAGGUUUAAUUGCAGGCCUAACAACAGAGAUCAAACCCGACGAGCCGAUCUGUGUACAUCCAAAAUUGCAAGUAUCGGCCGGCUUCAUUGUCACCCGCACAAAGACCCGAAGCCUAAAAUCCUUUACUCAACUAAAUUCUUAAUAAGUAAACUGCGACUAACCCUCUAAUACCAGAUUUGUUAAACAAUGUGAUUUCAGCCCUGGCUAUUCAUGUACCUUGUACAAGUAAAAUGACUGUUAAGGCUAAGAAUCAUGAAAGAGUCAUUUUAUAUAGCUGCUAAAUUCCCUUCAAAUCUCCUUGCAACUUAACGAGUAAAGAAAGAUCAACGUGUAAUACCGGCUAAUGUGGUUUAUGCUGGAAAAUACUAUCAACCUAUCUUUGUGCCUUAUCUAAGCCUGGAUAAUACUUAGCCUUUAUAGGAGACCCAACCCCGUUUUUUCUCCCUCUCCCCCAACUCUUGACUAUGUAUUUCCUAAAAUCCUUUUGCAAAGAGUUAAAUUGGAUGUGAAAUCUGUACUAGGCUCCGGCGUUCUCUUUGUUCUAAGACUCGCCGGCAAAGUCUUGCGUCUGUAUCACUUUCAUUGCCUUCUGAUUGAGCCUGACAGUGUGACAGAAAAUGCAAUCCCAAACUGAAUGCAGGCCUUUUUCAGCCCAGGCGCGCUCUGCUCCUUAGCCCCUGAGAAAAAGAAGGGAACAGAUGCCGGUCGCCAGCUUCCCUAACAAAGUCCUAACUUUGAUGCAGACGGAGGAGGAGGUGGGGGGAGAGAUAUAUAAAAAGAUUGCCUCCCUUCAGAAGACCUUGAAAGGAGCACAAAAGGAGAAAAAGGGAGAAAGAGGGAAGGGGUAGAAGGGGCCAAGCAGGAGGAAAAGGAGGAGGAGGAAAGCACAGCCUGGGACGCUUUCGGGAAGCCACAGGACUUUUAAAGAAAAUGUGUUGUCGCAGGGAAGGUUUCAGAUCAUCAAAUUCCAGAGCUCAAAAAAGCAAGAGAGGGGAAAAAAAAGACUAGUGUUGUUCGAAGAGGGGUUCUGGUCUGUUUUGCUGCUCCUCCCAUUCUCUAAUGAUGGUCCUGGGAACAAGCGCUCAGUAGGCUCACAAAUGGCACCGUGUAGCUGGGCUUCUAGUUUUGGGAAAGUCAAAAGCACUGCAUAUGGCACUCAUGGGCCGGGCUGUGGCGCAGCUGGCUAGUAAGCAGCUGCAAUAAAUCAGCUAAUUUAACUAAUUUACAACAUCAUAAAACUGCCAGCAAAACACGAGGAAAGGAAUGAGGAAGUACAGCCACCAGUGGACAGUGAAGCAACAGCUCCCCCUGUGGCCGGAAUCGUGAAGCUGGAAAAAAAUGUUAAAUGCCUCUGUGUCUGUCUAUAUAUGUUGUUUGUCUGUUGGCAUUGAAUGUUUGCCAUAUAUGUGUUCAUUGUAAUCUGCCCUGAGUCCCCUUCGGGGUGAGAAGGGUGGAAUAUAAAUACUGUAAAUAUAUAUAUAUAUAUAUAUAUAUAUAUAUAUAUAUAUAUAUAUAUAAAACCAGAGUCGACCCACUGGAGAAGUGGUAUUUAUUUACCUACUUGAAUCACAGAAUCAUAGAAUCAUAGAACAGUAGAGUUGGAAGAGAUCUCAUGGGCCAUCCAGUCCAACCCCCUGCCAAGAAGCAGGAAAUCGCAUUCAAAGCACCCCCGACAGAUGGCCAUCCAGCCUCUGCUUAAAAGCCUCCAAAGAAGGAGCCUCCACCACGGCCCUGGGGAGAGAGUUCCACUGUCGAACAGCUCUCACAGUGAGGAAAUUCUUCCUGAUGUUCAGAUGGAAUCUCCUUUCCUGUAGUUUGAAGCCAUUGUUCCGCAUCCUAGUCCGCAGGGCAGCAGAAAACAAGCUUGCUCCCUCCUCCCUAUAACCCCCCCCCUCACAUCUUGAUACAUGGCCCUCAUCAUGUCUCCUCUUAGCCUUCUCAUCUGCAGGCUAAACAUGCCCAGUUCUUUAAGCCGCUCCUCACAGGGCUUGUUCUCCAGACCCUUGAUCAUUUUAGAGGGCCUUUUCGGUGGUGGCCCCACGGCUCUGGAACUGCCUCCCUAAUGAGGUACGAUCAGCCCCUUCCUUAAUGGCCUUUUGUUCGCAAAUUAAAAACCUUUCUGUGGAUCCAGGCCUUUCCAAACAAAUGAAAAUAGACACUGCCAGUCUGAUAAAAUUUUUGAUAAUACUUGGCAAAUAACUUCAGUGGCCGGAGGUUAUGGAUAUCUUUAAUAUGGUGCUUGUUGUAAGUUUUAAAAUUGUUUUAUUUGUUGCUGAUAGGAGAACUCUGUGGGGUCUCGUUAAUGGGGUCACCAAAAGUUGGUGUCCUAAGACGGAGCCAGGAUGAAGCCUCGCUGGAAGUAGAUCUGUGUUAUGUAAAGGGCUCCUGUGGGCUCCAUCUUGGAAGCAUCCUAGAACAGAGCCAGAAGUCAAUGUAAAAGGAUCCUGAAUGGCUGUCAACAACUACAAUAUGUAAUGUAGUUAGGACUAGCAUGUUAUUACUCCCAGGAAAGGUCAGAAUAGACCAGAAAUGCUUCUUUUCGGCUUACCAUACUUUUUGUCACAUAGUCUUCUGUGUGUUCUGAAUCCUAUGGUAGUUCACACUAGUUGAAUUAAGAACCAGCAUGUUGGUGAAGACCAUUAAGUCAAUUACUUGCAAGAGAGAUAGAUGAUAGAUAGAUAGAUAGAUAGAUAGAGUUAGAUAGAUAGAUAUAGUUAUAGAUAGAUAGAUAGAUAGAUAGAUAGAUAGAUAGAUAGAUAGAUAGAUAGAUAGAUAGAUAGAUACCGUGUUUCCCCGAAAAUAAGACAGUGUCUUAUAUUAAUUUUGCUCCCAAAGAUGCACUAGGUCUUAUUUUCAGCGGAUGUCUUAUUUUUCUAUAAAGAAGAAUUCACAUUUAUUGUUGAACAAAAAAUGAACAUUUAUUAUAUACUGUACAGUAGUUGUCAUCACAAGCCAGCAUAACCAGACAAAAUGUGAAUCCUAUCAAUAAUUUCUUGUUACUACCAAUAUUUCCACGUACAACACUCUAUGGUACGUACAUUUACCAAUCCUGCAUGCUCUGGUGUUCUGUUUGACGGACAUGCUUCCAAACAAAAACUUUGCUAGGUCUUACUUUCGGGGGAGGCCUUAUAUUUAGCAAUUCAGCAAAACCUCUACUAGGUCUUAUUUUCUGAUGAUGUCUUAUUUUAGGGGAAACAGGGUAGAUAGAAAUGAUGACUGAUGAAAUACUUAGGACUUCAUCAGACAGGUGGGAGGAAAGCAGGAAAAAAACAUUGGGAAGAGUGGUGACUCUGGGGGUGGCCAACCAUCCCACAACCUUUCCCCAACUUCUUCCCACUUCCCUCCACUUUUUUCAGUCUCCUCUCCACUGGCAAGAUGGAGUCCAGUGAC
rnacentral:lncRNA from 1 species